AUGAGGGCCUCUACUCAGCUCCUGGGUUUUCUGCUGCUCUGGUUUACAGGAGCCAGAUGUGACAUCCAGAUGACCCAGUCUCCAGCCUCCCUGUCUACAUCUCUGGGAGACAGUGUCACCAUUACAUGCCGUGCAAGUGAGGACAUUUUUGAAUAUUUAGCAUGGUAUCAGCAGAAACCAGGGAAACCUCCUAAGCUCCUCAUCUAUGGUGCUAACAGUUUGGCAGAUGGGGUCCCAUCAAGGUUCAGUGGCAGUGGAUCUGGCACACAGUAUUCUUUCAAGAUCAGUAGCCUGCAGCUUGAAGAUUUUGCAACCUAUUACUGUCAACAGCAUUACAGUACCCCUCCCACAGUGAUACGAGCCAUGACAUAA